rnacentral:lncRNA from 1 species
AUGCAUACUCACACACACACACACAUGCAUACACAAUCACACACACACACACACACACACACACACACACACACAGGCAUACAUAUGCAUGCAUACACACACACACAUAUACAAAUUCAAAUUCAAAUUCAAAAAUACUUUAUUAAUCCCAGAGGGAAAUUGAUGAAUACACAUGCAUGCAUACACACACACGCAUACACAUGCAUGCAUACACCCACACAGGCAUACAUAUGCAUGCAUACACACACACGCAUACACAUGCAUGCAUACACACACACACACACACACACACACACAGGCAUACAUAUGCAUGCAUACACACACACACACACACACACACAUACACAUGCAUGCAUACACCCACACACACACACACAGGCAUACACAUGCAUGCAUACACACACAGACACACACACAGACACACACACAAGCAUACACACACACACAGACACACACAGACACACACAGAAGCAUACACACACAGGCAUACACGCACAUGCAUGCAUACACACACAGACACACAUGCAUGUGUGUACACACCACACAUACACAUGCAUACACACACACACACACAAACACACACACACAUGCAUGUGUGUACACACCACACGUAUACAUGCAUACACACACACAUACACAUGCAUGCAUACACACACACACACACACACACACACAGGCAUACAUAUGCAUGCAUACACACACACACACACACACACACACACACACAUACACAUGCAUGCAUACACCCCCCCCCACACACACAGGCAUACACAUGCAUGCAUACACACACAGACACACACAAGCAUACACACACACACAGACACACACAAGCAUACACACACACACAGGCAUACACGCACAUGCAUGCAUACACACACAGACACACACAAGCAUACACACACACACACACACACACACAUGCAUGUGUGUACACACCACACAUACACAUGCAUACACACACACAAACACACACACAUGCAUGAGUGUGCACACCACACACAAUAG